rnacentral:rRNA from 1 species
CACGUAGGGGGCUAGCGUUGCUCGGAAUCACUGGGCGUAAAGCGCACGUAGGCGGCUUUUUAAGUCAGGGGUGAAAUCCUGGAGCUCAACUCCAGAACUGCCUUUGAUACUGAGAAGCUUGAGUCCGGGAGAGGUGAGUGGAACUGCGAGUGUAGAGGUGAAAUUCGUAGAUAUUCGCAAGAACACCAGUGGCGAAGGCGGCUCACUGGCCCGGUACUGACGCUGAGAUGCGAAAGCGUGGGGAGCAAACAGG